AACGCACAUUGCGCCCUUUGGUAUUCCGAAGGGCAUGCCUGUUCGAGCGUCAUUAUCACCCCCUCAAGCCCCGUGCUUGGUGUUGGACGGCUUGGUAGAGGUCUCUCUACCCCUCCUAAAGACAAUGACGGCGGCCUCGUGGAACCCCCGGUACACUGAGCUUCUUAACUGAGCACGUAUCGGAUCAAGGGCGCCCGGGGCACGGUCUUCUCCCCUUCCCAUGGGGAAAUUUUCUCAAGGUUGACCUCGGAUCAGGUAGGAAUACGCGCUGAACUUAA
rnacentral:misc_RNA from 1 species